CCAAUAUACCAUAUUAAAGUUGUACCUUAUUGCAUUUCUCACAGCUAACAUACCUGAGUUAAGUUAUGCCUUGAUAAGAUUAAAACUCAAGGAAACAAAAUGAGCAGUUUCAACAAACAAGAAUCUAGGACAUACCCAUUAUGAACUUAGGAUGUACUGAGAUAACUAGGAAGCUACAGAUAGCAUCCUGGAGGCAGGUACAGGAGAAACACGUGUUGAGCUGUGCCUCUCCUGCCACUUUCACCACCCCCUGCUCUGACGUGGGCUGUACCUGCUGAGAGCAAGGCAGCACCCGAAAAACUUCAGGGAAUCAGGUUACAUGAGAUCCUUCCAGCUUCGGGUGAUUAACUCACUCCAUUUCAUACAACUGGGACGCUUUUGAAGAAAACCCAAUGGAAUACAUACACACAAAUCACUGGCAAUCAGCGAAGCAGUAGCAGCUCAUGGAGCUGCCCUUCACAAACCUUGAACUAGCUUUCAUCUUGCUGGCUUUUGUCAUUUUCACCUUGUUUACCCUGGCUUCUAUCUACAGUGGCUCCUACGACAACAAAGAAGUUAGAUGCCAACAGGCUAGCAUCUGGCACAAUCUGCAGGACAUGGAUUAGAGUGAAAGUUUGGAAAUCUGUAGUGGUGUGAUGUUCUGAAGGAGGCUGCAGCACGUGUUUCCUGCUGCCCUUUUAGAAGAGGCUAAACCCACUGUCACAACUUCUAUGGAACAUCAUUUUCAUGCCCCAGUGCCACUGUAGCUCUUCUAUAUAAGGGAUAACUGUGAUGAAGCAGUCUUCUGAUUUUCUAGGAUUCUUUCUUAUGUGUAGCAGGUAAGGCUUGACUUUAAUUCUUUUCACUAUUUGACCAGUGUCCCUGUCAGGAACCAACCAACAGCUCCUUGGGGCAAAGUGCAAUGUGCUUCAUAGAGUUUUGUUCUAAGGAAUAUAAAAGAUGACAGAUUUAUUGUAAAAAGGUAAAAGAGAGUGAGAUUUUAAGAACUUGUGAUGCAUUUGCUGCCAAGAGCAGUCAUUAGAAGAACAGUUCCAAGCAGAGUCUAUGCAAUAAAUCUCCCACUGGAGGGAGAUGUCUAGUCA
rnacentral:lncRNA from 1 species